rnacentral:misc_RNA from 1 species
UUUCCGUAGGUGAACCUGCGGAGGGAUCAUUACUGAGUGAGGGCCCUCUGGGUCCAACCUCCCACCCGUGUUUAUUAUACCUUGUUGCUUCGGUGAGCCCGCCUCACGGCCGCCGGGGGGCAUCUGCCCCCGGGCCCGCGCCCACCGAAGACACCUAGAACUCUGUAUGAAGAUUGCAGUCUGAGCAAAAACUAAAUAAGUUAAAACUUUCAACAACGGAUCUCUUGGUUCCG